AGGGUGACAGGUGGUGCAUGGUUGUCGUCAGCUCGUGUCGUGAGAUGUUGGUUAAGUCCCGCAACGAGCGCAACCCUCGACCUUAGUUGCCAGCAUUCAGUUGGGCACUCUAAGGUGACUGCCGGCUAAAAGUCGGAGGAAGGUGGGGAUGACGUCAAAUCAUCAUGCCCCUUAUGACCUGGGCUACACACGUGCUACAAUGGGCGGUACAAAGGGUCGCGAACCCGCGAGGGGGAGCCAAUCCCAAAAAGCCGCUCUCAGUUCGGAUUGCAGGCUGCAACUCGCCUGCAUGAAGCCGGAAUCGCUAGUAAUCGCGGAUCAGCAUGCCGCGGUGAAUACGUUCCCGGGCCUU
rnacentral:rRNA from 1 species